rnacentral:rRNA from 1 species
AAUAAGCGGAGGAAAAGAAACUAACAAGGAUUCCCCUAGUAACGGCGAGUGAAGUGGGAAAAGCUCAACUUUGAAAUCUGGUACUUUCAGUAUCCGAAUUGUAGUCUCAAGAAGUGUUUUCUGUGCCGGUCCAUGUAUGAGUCUGUUGGAACACAGCGUCAUAGAGGGUGACAACCCCGUUCAUGACAUGGAUCCCGGUGCUUUGUGAUACACUCUCGAAGAGUCGAGUUGUUUGGGAAUGCAGCUCAAAUUGGGUGGUAAAUUCCAUCUAAAGCUAAAUAUUGGCGAGAGACCGAUAGCAAACAAGUACCGUGAGGGAAAGAUGAAAAGCACUUUGGAAAGAGAGUUAACAGUACGUGAAAUUGUUGAAAGGGAAACGAUUGAAGUCAGACGUGCGUGAUGCGGUUCAGCUUUAGUUCGCUAGAGUGUACUCCGUAUCUUUGCAGGCCAGCAUCGGUUUUGUUAGUCGGAUAAAGGUUUGAGAAAUGUGGCAUCUUCGGAUGUGUUAUAGUCUCAGACUGAAUACGAUUGAUGGGACCGAGGAACGCAGCGCGCCGCAAGGCAAAGGUC